rnacentral:rRNA from 1 species
GACGAACGCUGGCGGCGUGCUUAACACAUGCAAGUCGAGCGGUAAGGCCCUUUCGGAGGUACACGAGCGGCGAACGGGUGAGUAACACGUGGGUGACCUGCCCUCAGCUCUGGGAUAAGCCUGGGAAACCGGGUCUAAUACCGGAUAUGACUCCAUGACGCAUGUUGUGGGGUGGAAAGCCUUGUGCGGCUGAGGAUGGGCCCGCGGCCUAUCAGCUUGUUGGUGGGGUGAUGGCCUACCAAGGCGACGACGGGUAGCCGGCCUGAGAGGGCGACCGGCCACACUGGGACUGAGACACGGCCCAGACUCCUACGGGAGGCAGCAGUGGGGAAUCUUGCGCAAUGGGCGAAAGCCUGACGCAGCGACGCCGCGUGAGGGAUGAC